UACGUAGGUGGCAAGCGUUGUCCGGAAUUAUUGGGCGUAAAGCGCGCGCAGGCGGUUUCUUAAGUCUGAUGUGAAAGCCCCCGGCUCAACCGGGGAGGGUCAUUGGAAACUGGGAAACUUGAGUACAGAAGAGGAAAGUGGAAUUCCACGUGUAGCGGUGAAAUGCGUAGAGAUGUGGAGGAACACCAGUGGCGAAGGCGACUUUCUGGUCUGUAACUGACGCUGAGGCGCGAAAGCGUGGGGAGCGAACAGGAUUAGAAACCCCCGUAGUCC
rnacentral:rRNA from 1 species